UCCGGUUUAACACCGGCAGUCUUGUUAGAGUGCCCGGCUUUACCCGCUGGCAACUAACAAUAAGGGUUUCGCUCGUUAUGGGACUUAACCCGACACUUCACAGCACGAGCUGACGACAGCCAUGCAGCACCUGUGAUUGUUCCGGAUUGGAUACCGGUCGUACGUCUUUCGAUUUCCUACUUCAACCAUGUCAAGCCCAGGAUAAGGUUCUUCGCGUUGCUUCGAAUUGAGCCACAUGCUCCACCGCUUGUGUGAGCCCCCGUCAAUUCCUUUGAGUUUUAGCCUUGCGACCGUACUUCCCAGGUGGCAGACUUAACAAUUUUUCUCCGACCACAACGGGGUAGAACCCGCUGCAAUCUAGUCUGCAUCGUUUAGGGCGUGGACUAC
rnacentral:misc_RNA from 1 species